AAUCAACGCUGGCGGCGUGCCUAACACAUGCAAGUCGAACGAGAAAGGGGAGCAAUCCCUGAGUAAAGUGGCGACCGGGUGAGUAACACGUGACUAACCUGCCUUCGAGUGGGGGAUAACCUCGGGAAACCAGGGCUAAUACCGCAUAAUGCCUUCGGGUUAAAGGAGCAAUUCGCUUGAAGAGGGGGUCGCGGCUGAUUAGCUAGUUGGCGGGGUAACGGCCCACCAAGGCGAAGAUCGGUAGCCGGCCUGAGAGGGCGAACGGCCACACUGGAACUGAAACACGGUCCAGACUCCUACGGGAGGCAGCAGUGGGGAAUUUUGCGCAAUGGGGGAAACCCUGACGCAGCAACGCCGCGUGGAGGAUGAAGUCCUUUGGGACGUAAACUCCUUUCGACCGGGACGAUUAUGACGGUACCGGUGGAAGAAGUCCCGGCUAACUUCGUGCCAGCCGCAGCCGUAAAAC
rnacentral:rRNA from 1 species